GCCGUAGCGCGGUGGUCCCACCUGACCCCAUGCCGAACUCAGAAGUGAAACGCCGUAGCGCCGAUGGUAGUGUGGGGUCUCCCCAUGCGAGAGUAGGGAACUGCCA
rnacentral:rRNA from 1 species